rnacentral:lncRNA from 1 species
CUGCAACAAACCUGGUCCCUCAAACCAAUUAAUCACUCCUGCAGACAUGAUUCAUGAAUGAGGCUAUUCUCCACUAUUAUACACAAACAUAUUACUCUCUCUAUAUAUAUAUAUGUGCCUUCUUUUUACUUUAGAUUUCUAUGAUCUUUGGUGCUCCAUUGGAGAUGUAUGAGUUUAGAAGCAUAUCGUAUGUAUCAAUUAUCAAAUAAUUAACAGCUUUACAUGCUCUUAGCUUUGAAUCAUUACAAUAUCAUGCGAAUUAAACAUACGUCCGUACUACAAAACAAAUUACAGUUAAUUGUCUAUCAUAUCGCCGCGUCCUUAUCUUUAUGUUGAUGAAGCACUGUACCUAGCUAGCCAGAAUAUCAUAUUGUCUUUUCUCUGUACCCAUCAUAUAAACUAACCCAAAAAAAGGGUUCGUCAUCAUUUUCACUCGAAACAAAAACCCCGUUACGAAAUAUGGAAUAGUUAUCACAGAAAAACUAACGAAGGGCCAAAAAAUCGAAGAGAGAAAAAACUAUUGGGAAUAAAAAGUAUUUCAUCUUUGCAUUAAGAAGUAGCUGCUACUGCUGGUAGCUAUAAAGAGUUUUAUCUUUUGUAGGACCAAGGGGGGGUAAGAACAUGUUAGGAGUGAGGUCUGCACGUGCAAAAGUAAAAGAAGGUAUCAUAAAUCUGAAAGAACACCUAAAAGGGUGUCAAUUGUUGUACAGAGUGUAACAGGGUCAAUACGACAAAUGGUGGUGGAGGUGCUGGUGGUAGUGGAUCAUCACAAACAAUACUACCACAAGAAGCAAAACAUAUAAUCAAAAGGGUAUCCACUAAAAAACACAGAAAACAACUAUUCUCAGGCUUUUGCUCACGGUACCCCAUCUUUAAUUCUUGUGUCACUAAUGUGGAUUAUGCAACCAAGUGGAGCGUAUGCUUCAGGUGUUGCUUCAAACAGUUCUAAUAACAAAGCGACAAGGAAGUUCAUACAUCAUCAAGGUCCAGCAGCAUGUCUAUCUGCAAAAUUGUCAAAUUGUGUCUUUCCUUUUGCAGGAGUGUGAUCUAAACACUCAGCAGCACAUGAAGACAGAUUCUGCUUAAGGUUGGGGAUUUGCUUGUAUCUUAAAAAUUUUGAAAAAAUUAAACCAGACAUGGGAUAAACUUUGAUGGAUUGAGGGAGGCGUGUGGCACCGUCAUGAUUGUAUUGUUGACAAAAGAAUCUUGAUAGCAUUAUGUGCAGAUCGUGCAGCUUUUGACAAUCGUCAAAUCAGGUCACGUUGUUGUUUAAAUGCU